rnacentral:lncRNA from 1 species
CCCACGUGUUCCAUCCAGAGCCCUUUAUUGCAAACCCCGCCCCCCUCCCUCCAUCCCGGCUUCUGAUUGGCCGAGGGGAGGGGGUGGCUCAGCUCCCAUUGGUCAGUGAUGGGGGGUGGGUGGGGUCAGGGCUCUCCGUGGGGCAGCCCCGGCUCAAGUCCGUCUGUGGGGCUGGAUGUGGGUCCGUCCGUGGGUCCGUCCGUGGGUCGGUCUAUGGGUCACGGGGGCGAGUGGGGGCCCUCCCCCCCCCCCCUCACUCCUCGCCGUGGGUCGGUCCGUGGGUCCAUCCGUGGGUCCAUGGGUCAAUCUAUGGGUCAAGCCCAUGGGUCCAUCCAUGAGUCCAUCCAUGGGUCAAUCUAUGGGUCAGUCUAUGGGUCCAUGGGUCAAUCUAUGGGUCAGUCUAUGGGUCCAUGGGUCCAUCCAUGGGUCAAUCCAGUCUAUGGGUCCAUGGCUCCAUCAACGUUCUGGUCCAUGUGUCCAUCCGUGGGUCCAUCCGUGGGUCGUUGGGGGGCGAUAUGUGGGUCAAUCUAUGGGUCAGUCUACGGGUCCAUCCAUGGGUCAGCCCAGUCUAUGGGUCCAUGGGUCCAUCAAUGGUUUGGUCCAUGGGUCCAUCC